rnacentral:rRNA from 1 species
AGUGAACGCUGGCGGUAGGCCUAACACAUGCAAGUCGAACGGCAGCACAGAGGAGCUUGCUCCUUGGGUGGCGAGUGGCGGACGGGUGAGGAAUACAUCGGAAUCUACUCUGUCGUGGGGGAUAACGUAGGGAAACUUACGCUAAUACCGCAUACGACCUACGGGUGAAAGCAGGGGAUCUUCGGACCUUGCGCGACUGAAUGAGCCGAUGUCGGAUUAGCUAGUUGGCGGGGUAAAGGCCCACCAAGGCGACGAUCCGUAGCUGGUCUGAGAGGAUGAUCAGCCACACUGGAACUGAGACACGGUCCAGACUCCUACGGGAGGCAGCAGUGGGGAAUAUUGGACAAUGGGCGCAAGCCUGAUUCAGCCAUACCGCGUGGGUGAAGAAGGCCUUCGGGUUGUAAAGCCCUUUUGUUGGGAAAGAAAUCCAGCUGGCUAAUACCCGGUUGGGAUGACGGUACCCAAAGAAUAAGCACCGGCUAACUUCGUGCCAGCAGCCGCAGUAA